UACGAAGGGGGCUAGCGUUGUUCGGAAUUACUGGGCGUAAAGCGCGCGCAGGCGGUUCUUUAAGUCAGGGGUGAAAGCCCAGAGCUCAACUCUGGAAUUGCCUUUGAAACUAGAGAACUUGGGUACGGGAGAGGUGAGUGGAAUUCCGAGUGUAGAGGUGAAAUUCGUAGAUAUUCGGAAGAACACCAGUGGCGAAGGCGGCUGACUGGACAUGUAUUGACGCUGAGGUGCGAAAGCGUGGGGAGCAAACAGG
rnacentral:rRNA from 1 species